UGGCGACGGCGCACGGGUGCGUAACGCGUAUGCAACCUACCCAUAACAGGGGGAUAACACUGAGAAAUUGGUACUAAUACCCCAUAACAUCAGGACCGGCAUCGGUUCUGGUUGAAAACUCCGGUGGUAUAAGAUGGACCCGCGUUGGAUUAGCUAGUUGGCAGGGUAACGGCCUACCAAGGCGACGAUCCAUAGCCGGCCUGAGGGGGUGAACGGCCACAUUGGGACUGAGACACGGCCCAG
rnacentral:rRNA from 1 species